rnacentral:rRNA from 1 species
UACGUAGGGUGCAAGCGUUGUCCGGAAUUAUUGGGCGUAAAGAGCGUGUAGGCGGCCCGAUUAGUCCGCUGUGAAAGUCCAGGGCUCAACCCUGGAAUGCCGGUGGAUACUGUCGGGCUAGAGUCCGGAAGGGGCGAGUGGAAUUCCUGGUGUAGCGGUGAAAUGCGCAGAUAUCAGGAGGAACACCGGUGGCGAAGGCGGGUCUCUGGGCCGAUAUUGACGCUGAGGAGCGAAAGCGUGGGGAGCAAACAGG